rnacentral:rRNA from 1 species
AACGAACGCUGGCGGCAGGCUUAACACAUGCAAGUCGAACGCCCCGCAAGGGGAGUGGCAGACGGGUGAGUAACGCGUGGGAAUCUACCCAGAUCUUCGGAACAACUGAGGGAAACUUCAGCUAAUACCGGAUACGCCCUACGGGGGAAAGAUUUAUCGGUUCUGGAUGAGCCCGCGUUGGAUUAGCUAGUUGGUGAGGUAAAGGCUCUCCAAGGCGACGAUCCAUAGCUGGUCUGAGAGGAUGAUCAGCCACACUGGGACUGAGACACGGCCCAGACUCCUACGGGAGGCAGCAGUGGGGAAUAUUGGACAAUGGGCGAAAGCCUGAUCCAGCCAUGCCGCGUGAGUGAUGAAGGCCUUAGGGUUGUAAAGCUCUUUCAGUAGGGAAGAUAAUGACGGUACCUACAGAAGAAGCCCCGGCUAACUUCGUGCCAGCCGCCGCCGUAAUAC